GCAGUGUAUGACGCUACGUCCGUUGGAUUAUGCCUGAACGCCUCUAAGGUCGUAUCCGUGCUGGACUGCAAUGAUAAAUAAGGGGCAAUUUGCAUUGUAUGGCUUCUAAACCAUUAAAAGUUUAUAAUUUAUUUUAUAAACGACAAUGGAUGUGAUGCCAAUGUAAUUUGUAACAUAGUAAAUUGGGAGGAUCAUCGAUCACCUGAUGCCGCGCUAGUUGCAUAUAAAAACAUUAUUUAAUACAAUGACAAAGCCUAGAAUCAAUUGUAAACGACUUUUGUAACAGGCAAGGUGUUGUAAGUGGUUGAGCAGCUGCCAUACUGCGAUCCACUGAAGCUUAUCCUUUGCUUGAUGAUUCGA
rnacentral:ncRNA from 1 species